rnacentral:rRNA from 1 species
NCCCCAAGUCAUGGUUAAGUGGGAAACGAAGUGGGAAGGCUCAGACAGCCAGGAUGGUUGGCUUAGAAGCAGCCAUCAUUUAAAGAAAGCGUAAUAGCUCACUGGUCGAGUCGGCCUGCGCGGAAGAUGUAACGGGGCUAAACCAUGCACCGAAGCUGCGGCAGCAACAUUUCGAUGUUGUUGGGUAGGGGAGCGUUCUGUAAGCCUGCGAAGGUGUGCUGUGAGGCAUGCUGGAGGUAUCAGAAGUGCGAAUGCUGACAUAAGUAACGAUAAAGCGGGUGAAAAACCCGCUCGCCGGAAGACCAAGGGUUCCUGUCCAACGUUAAUCGGGGCAGGGUGAGUCGACCCCUAAGGCGAGGCCGAAAGGCGUAGUCGAUGGGAAACGGGUUAAUAUUCCCGUACUCGGUGUUACUGCGAAGGGGGGACGGAGAAGGCUAGACCGGCCGGGCGACGGUUGUCCCGGUUCAAGCGUGUAGGUGGGAAGAAUUGGUAAAUCCGUUCUUCUGUGAACACUGAGGCGUGAUAACGAGGCACUACGGUGCUGAAGUGGUUGAUGCCCUGCUUCCAGGAAAAGCCUCUAAGCAUCAGGUAACAGUGAAUCGUACCCCAAACCGACACAGGUGGUCAGGUAGAGAAUACUCAGGCGCUUGAGAGAACUCGGGUGAAGGAACUAGGCAAAAUGGUGCCGUAACUUCGGGAGAAGGCACGCUGGCAUUAGGUGAAGGGACAUGCGCCCGGAGCCGAAGCCAGUCGCAGAUACCAGCUGGCUGCAACUGUUUAAUAAAAACACAGCACUGUGCAAACACGAAAGUGGACGUAUACGGUGUGACGCCUGCCCGGUGCUGGAAGGUUAAUUGAUGGGGUUAGCGGCAACGCGAAGCUCUUGAUCGAAGCCCCAGUAAACGGCGGCCGUAACUAUAACGGUCCUAAGGUAGCGAAAUUCCUUGUCGGGUAAGUUCCGACCUGCACGAAUGGCGUAAUGAUGGCCAGGCUGUCUCCACCCGAGACUCAGUGAAAUUGAACUCGCUGUGAAGAUGCAGUGUACCCGCGGCAAGACGGAAAGACCCCGUGAACCUUUACUAUAGCUUGACACUGAACCUUGAACCUUGAUGUGUAGGAUAGGUGGGAGGCUGUGAAGUGUGGACGCCAGUCUGCACGGAGCCAUCCUUGAAAUACCACCCUUGAAUGUUUGAUGUUCUAACGCAGGCCCGUCAUCCGGGUCGCGGACAGUGUCUGGUGGGUAGUUUGACUGGGGCGGUCUCCUCCCAAAGCGUAACGGAGGAGCACGAAGGUUAGCUAAUCACGGUCGGACAUCGUGAGGUUAGUGCAAUGGCAUAAGCUAGCUUGACUGCGAGAGUGACAGCUCGAGCAGGUACGAAAGUAGGUCAUAGUGAUCCGGUGGUUCUGAAUGGAAGGGCCAUCGCUCAACGGAUAAAAGGUACUCCGGGGAUAACAGGCUGAUACCGCCCAAGAGUUCAUAUCGACGGCGGUGUUUGGCACCUCGAUGUCGGCUCAUCACAUCCUGGGGCUGAAGUAGGUCCCAAGGGUACGGCUGUUCGCCGUUUAAAGUGGUACGCGAGCUGGGUUUAGAACGUCGUGAGACAGUUCGGUCCCUAUCUGCCGUGGGCGUUGGAAGAUUGAAAGGGGCUGCUCCUAGUACGAGAGGACCGGAGUGGACGCACCACUGGUGUUCGGGUUGUCAUGCCAAUGGCACUGCCCGGUAGCUAAGUGCGGAAGAGAUAACCGCUGAAAGCAUCUAAGCGGGAAACUUGCCUUGAGAUGAGUCUUCCCUUGU